AACGAUUAAUUUUCGAAAAAACGAACGUUAUUUAGGGGCUCGCGAAAGUUGACUUUUUAUACGUUCAAAAUUUGGGAAAACUUUCUUCAUGAAAGUUGUAGAGCUCGUCGAUACGAUCGCGUGCAUAUGCGGAACGCAAAAAUCGGAGUUCGUAUGAAUUAGUUAUGAUUUUUUGAAAAAGUUUCCAAUUUAGUAUAAAGCUUCCAUUUUUGGAAAUUUCCAAAAAUAAAAACAGAUUUUUCCAAAAUUGGAAAAUCUGCUGCGAUUUUAGUUCCCCGCCGGAAAUCGCCUCCAAAACUUCGAUCGACGAUUUCUUCCUCCUCCGGCCACCGAUCCUCACCAAACUUCUUCCAUUGGCUUCGUAUGGUCCUUGCGCACCUGUCUGUGGCAGCCUUUCACGGCGGCGCGGCCUGUAGCGGCGGCGGCAAGCCCGGUCCGAUUUAAGCUCGAUUUUGGUCAACGCCGGUUUUCUCCUAGCUCCGGCCACCAAAACUUCCGAUCCUUGGCUCCAUGAACUCCCCUCAACCUGCUGAUCAUCAUACUAGGAGGAUUGCACCUAGAGUGACCGGUUUCACGUUCGUCGGAGCUCGUGGGUUCCCCUUGAUGUUAUUAACAACUCUCUAGAAGGCAUCGAGGCCUGAAAUUGAAGCUUUGACGUCGAAAUCGAGCCUUGCCGGAUUCUGCAAAAUUCUGGAAUUUUUCCGACCACCGAAGCUUUCGAUCGGUAUAUCUCGAGCUACAGACCAUAUUUUUCUGUGAUUCUUGAACCAGUGAGUUCUUCUUGAGUUUCUUAACAACUCUUCAGAAGGAAUCGAAGCCUUAAAUUGACGUUUUUACGUCGAAUUGGAGCUCGCCGUUUUCUGCAGUUUCUCGCCGGUUUCUGGAAAAUUCCGGCCACCUUCAUACUGUUCAAGGUGAUUGACGGUUUGAGUUGGCGGACGAUUGUGAAUCGUAUUUUGAGCUGUUAAGAAGACGCAGCGGGAUUAGAGGUGAGUAAACCUCACGUGGUUCAUAUUACGAACCGAAUAAAUUUAAUUACUUUAUUUUGUCGUAAUUGUGUGAAAAUAU